rnacentral:rRNA from 1 species
CGGGGUGAGGUAAUGUCUGGGAAACUGCCUGAUGGAGGGGGGUAACUACUGGAAACGGUAGCUAAUACCGCAUAACGUCGCAAGACCAAAGUGGGGGACCUUCGGGCCUCAUGCCAUCAGAUGUGCCCAGAUGGGAUUAGCUAGUAGGUGGGGUAACGGCUCACCUAGGCGACGAUCCCUAGCUGGUCUGAGAGGAUGACCAGCCACACCGGAACUGAGACACGGUCCAG